UACGGAGGAUGUGAGCGUUAUCCGGAAUCAUUGGGUUUAAAGGGUGCGCAGGCGGGGGAUUAAGUCGGCGGUGAAAUUUUGCAGCUUAACUGUAACAGUGCCGUUGAUACUGGGGAGCUAGGAUUUGGUUGAUGUGGGUGGAAUGUGUGGUGUAGCGGUGAAACGCUUAGAGAUCACACAGAAUAUCGAUUGCGAAGGCAGCUCACAAAGCCAAGAUUGACGCUGAGGCACGAAAGUGUGGGGAUCAAACAGGAUUA
rnacentral:rRNA from 1 species